rnacentral:rRNA from 1 species
GACGAACGCUAGCGGCGUGCUUAACACAUGCAAGUCGAACGAUGAAACCUAGCUUGCUAGGUCGAUUAGUGGCGAACGGGUGAGUAACACGUGACUAACCUGCCCCUUUCUCUGGGAUAACGCUCCGAAAGGAGUGCUAAUACCGGAUACUCACAUCGAGGCACAUGCCUUGGUGUGGAAAGUUUUUCGGAAAGGGAUGGAGUCGCGGCCUAUCAGCUUGUUGGUGAGGUAACGGCGCACCAAGGCGACGACGGGUAGCCGGCCUGAGAGGGCGACCGGCCACACUGGGACUGAGACACGGCCCAGACUCCUACGGGAGGCAGCAGUGGGGAAUAUUGCACAAUGGGCGCAAGCCUGAUGCAGCGACGCCGCAUGAGGGAUGAAGGUCUUCGGAUUGUAAACCUCUUUCAGUAGGGACGAAGCGAAAGUGACGGUACCUAAAGAAGAAGCACCGGCUAACUACGUGCCAGCCGCCGCGGUAAGAC